rnacentral:piRNA from 1 species
UGACAGUCACUCUGCUUAAAUGUAUGGUA